AUAUUCCAGCAAUAUCACGACGGGGACACCAGAAAUGGGCUUCACACAUUGUACCCAUGUGGGGAAUCGAACCCGGGUUUUCUGCAUGAUGAACGAACGC